UACGGAGGGUGCGAGCGUUAAUCGGAAUUACUGGGCGUAAAGCGCACGCAGGCGGCUGGGUAAGUCGGAUGUGAAAGCCCUGGGCUUAACCUGGGAACUGCAUUCGAUACUGCCUGGCUAGAGUAUGGGAGAGGGAAGCGGAAUUUCCGGUGUAGCGGUGAAAUGCGUAGAUAUCGGAAGGAACACCAAUGGCGAAGGCAGCUUCCUGGCCCAAUACUGACGCUCAGGUGCGAAAGCGUGGGGAUCAAACAGG
rnacentral:rRNA from 1 species